rnacentral:rRNA from 1 species
GGGCUACACACGUGCUACAAUGGUGAUGCCAAAAAGAUGCAAUUUGGUCACAAGGAGCUAAUCUCUAACCAUCACCUUAGUUCAGAUUGUUCUCUGCAACUCGAGAACAUGAAGUCGGAAUCGCUAGUAAUCGUAGAUCAGCAUGCUACGGUGAAUUUGUAUCUAAGCCUUGUACACACCGCCCGUCACACUACGAAAGUGAACUGCACUCAAAAAAAUCACCCUUCUAAACAAUUAGAUCAAUCUUACACACUUCAACAUUGAAUCCUCGUGUUUUGAAGACAUUUUUACAGUGUUGUCUAUGAUUAUAGUGAAGUCGUAACAAGGUAGCUGUAGGGGAACCUGUAGCUGGAU